rnacentral:lncRNA from 1 species
GUAUUCUUCCCUGUUCUUCCCAGUCCUUUCCAAUGUGUACACUGUUAGCAUCAGUUAUGAAGGAAAGGACACUGUCCUGUGCAUGUGUCAAGGUCGCCCCACCUCCACACCUUUGCUCAUGUUGCUCCUUCCACCUGGCAUGCCCCUGCUUCUUUCCUUUCGUUCACUACCAAUCCAUCUAGAGGGGAGUCAGCUCCUUCUUGCCGUGGGAACUUUCGUUUCUUCAAAAGGCUGUGGCAAACCCUUCUUCCUCUGGGGAACUUCCUCCAAGGCCACUACAUAAAAUGUCACUGCGGGAUGGAGCAAGAGAAGAUCUGGGAUUUGGGAACACCUCAGGACCUGGGAACACUUCUUCGUAGGACAAAGUCAAGAUGAAACUCCCCCUACUUCUGGCUCUUCUAUUUGGGGCAGUUUCAGCCCUUCAUCUAAGGACUGAAACAUCCAACUUUGAGAGCCCCUUGGGGGAUGACACCCUGCCUCAGGAUGGGGAGAUGCCAGAACAUGGGGCAAUGUAUGCUCCUACGGAGGGAAUGAUGCUGCCAGAGGGAGAGGAGGAGGGGGGCUCUGGAAGCGAAGAUGACCCCGAGGAAGAGGGGCUGUCAAGUCUGUCUCAGCCCUAGAAGAAGUGGACGAAGACUUUCAGUGUCCUAAGGAAGAGGAUACAGUCAAACUGGAAGACAUCCCUGGAUGCAAGACCUGCCACUUUAUUGUGUUGGUGAGAGCCAUGACAUAUGAUGAAACUCAGGUGAGUGGUCUGUGGCUGAGGCUGAGACCUGGAGCGGGGAGGAGGGCAUGGAGGGGGAUGUCUCCGGCCUCUGUGUCACUGGUUAUUUUCCUCACUGAGGACCCUGGGGGUGUCAGCAGGGGCUGAGGCCCUGAGAGGUGUUAGAUGUGGUUAAGGGGGAUAAGAGUGGUGGAUCAUGUGGAAACAGAAGUUAUGUUUUGAUCUCCAGUCUUCAAAUGGCUGUGGGGUUGGGGUGGGGAUUGGGGGAUUGAACUGUGGAGACUUCGAGACCCCGGGCUAAGGUUGUGUGAAUUCCUGUGGGAGGGGAGCUUCAUUUUCCUCACCACAGUGUUCCACUUUCCUUGUAAUUCAUGCCCAGAUCCUCCUUUCUCCAUCAGCCUUCCCAGAUCCAGGGCAGCAGAAGAAGCUCUGCUCUUUCUGGAGCUAUGCUUUCUCUCGGCGCUUUGCCU